UGGCUGAGGAGGAGCUGUGUCUGGCUGAAGUUGUGCGUGCAGGUGCCAGCUCACACCUUCCUCGCCCCCC
rnacentral:miRNA from 1 species